CGGCAACAGCUCAAAUUUGAAAUCUGGCCCUAGUGGUCCGAGUUGUAAUUUGUAGAGGAUGCUUUUGGUGCGGUACCUUCCGAGUUCCCUGGAACGGGACGCCAUAGAGGGUGAGAGCCCCGUCUGGUCGGAUACCAAUCCUCUGUAAAGCUCCUUCGACGAGUCGAGUAGUUUGGGAAUGCUGCUCAAAAUGGGAGGUAUAUGUCUUCUAAAGCUAAAUAUUGGCCAGAGACCGAUAGCGCACAAGUAGAGUGAUCGAAAGAUGAAAAGCACUUUGAAAAGAGGGUUAAAUAGUACGUGAAAUUGUUGAAAGGGAAGCGUUUGUGACCAGACUUGGGCCCGGUUAAUCAUCCGGCGUUCUCGCCGGUGCACUUUGCCGGCCCAGGCCAGCAUCAGUUCGCUGCGGGGGAAAAAGGCUUCGGGAAUGUGGCUCCUCUGGAGUGUUAUAGCCCGCUGCGUAAUACCCUGUGGUGGACUGAGGUUCGCGCAUCUGCAAGGAUGCUGGCGUAAUGGUCAUCAACGACCCGUCUUGAAACACGGACCAAGGAGUCGUCUUCGUAUGCGAGUGUUCGGGUGUCAAACCCCUACGCGUAAUGAAAGUGAACGGAGGUGGGAGCCUCGGCGCACCAUCGACCGAUCCUGAUGUUUUCGGAUGGAUUUGAGUAAGAGCAUACGGGGCCGGACCCGAAAGAAGGUGAACUAUGCCUGUAUAGGGUGAAGCCAGAGGAAACUCUGGUGGAGGCUCGCAGCGGUUCUGACGUGCAAAUCGAUCGUCAAAUAUGGGCA
rnacentral:rRNA from 1 species